rnacentral:rRNA from 1 species
CCUACGGGAGGCUGCAGUGGGGAGUAUUGGACAAUGGGCGAAAGCCUGAUCCAGCCAUGCCGCGUGUGAAGAAGGCCUUCGGGUUGUAAAGCACUUUCAGUGGGGAAGAAAGCCUUGGGGCUAAUACCCUCGAGGAAGGACAUCACCCACAGAAGAAGCACCGGCUAACUCCGUGCCAGCAGCCGCGGUAAUACGGAGGGUGCGAGCGUUAAUCGGAAUUACUGGGCGUAAAGCGCGCGUAGGCGGUCUGAUAAGCCGGUUGUGAAAGCCCCGGGCUCAACCUGGGAACGGCAUCCGGAACUGUCAGGCUAGAGUGCAGGAGAGGAAGGUAGAAUUCCCGGUGUAGCGGUGAAAUGCGUAGAGAUCGGGAGGAAUACCAGUGGCGAAGGCGGCCUUCUGGACUGACACUGACGCUGAGGUGCGAAAGCGUGGGUAGCAAACAGGAUUAGAUACCCUAGUAGUC